rnacentral:rRNA from 1 species
ACGGGAGGCAGCAGUGGGGAAUAUUGGACAAUGGGGGAAACUCUGACGCAGUGACGCCGCGUAUAGGAAGAAGGUUUUCGGAUUGUAAACUAUUGUCGUUAGGGAAGAAAAAAGACAGUACCUAAGGAGGAAGCUCCGGCUAACUAUGUGCCAGCAGCCGCGGUAAUACAUAGGGAGCAAGCGUUAUCCGGAAUUAUUGGGUGUAAAGGGUGCGUAGACGGAGGAGCAAGUUAGUUGUGAAAUCCCUCGGCUUAACUGAGGAACUGCAACUAAAACUACUUCCCUUGAGUGUCGGAGAGGAAAGUGGAAUUCCUAGUGUAGCGGUGAAAUGCGUAGAUAUUAGGAGGAACACCAGUGGCGAAGGCGACUUUCUGGACGAUAACUUACGUUGAUGCACGAAAGUGUGGGGAGCAAACAGGAUUAGAUACCCUGGUA